rnacentral:rRNA from 1 species
UACGGAGGGUGCGAGCGUUGUCCGGAAUCACUGGGCGUAAAGGCGCGUAGGCGGCCUGGUAAGUAGGGGGUGAAAUCCUGCGGCUUAACCGCAGGGCUGCCUUCUAAACUGUCAGGCUCGAGCACGGUAGAGGCAGAUGGAAUUCCCGGUGUAGCGGUGGAAUGCGUAGAGAUCGGGAAGAACAUCAGUGGCGAAGGCGGUCUGCUGGGCCGUUGCUGACGCUGAGGCGCGACAGCGUGGGGAGCAAACAGG